rnacentral:lncRNA from 1 species
CACAGCACAAGUCAGAGGACUUACCUUGGCCUCAGUUCCAACCUGCAGUUUAAGGUUAAACACAGAUAUUCAAACAAUUCACGACAAACGAUCAAGCAUUGAUCAAUCGACUUAGUCGAUUACAUGUCAAUCGGACCAUCUCUAGGUCAUUCCCACUCAUACCAUAAUUUCCUAAUGGUGUACUCAUUCACCAAAUCACAUGUGUUUCUCGGGCGUCGUUUUCGCCAAUGACAUACC